rnacentral:rRNA from 1 species
AUUGAACGCUGGCGGCAUGCCUUACACAUGCAAGUCGAACGGUAACGCGGGGCAACCUGGCGACGAGUGGCGAACGGGUGAGUAAAGUAUCGGAACGUGCCCAAUAGUGGGGGAUAGCCCGGCGAAAGCCGGAUUAAUACCGCAUGAGACCUGAGGGUGAAAGCGGGGGACUCGCAAGAGCCUCGCGCUGUUGGAGCGGCCGAUAUCAGAUUAGGUUGUUGGUGGGGUAAAGGCCUACCAAGCCGACGAUCUGUAGCUGGUCUGAGAGGACGACCAGCCACACUGGGACUGAGACACGGCCCAGACUCCUACGGGAGGCAGCAGUGGGGAAUUUUGGACAAUGGGCGCAAGCCUGAUCCAGCCAUGCCGCGUGCGGGAAGAAGGCCU